rnacentral:rRNA from 1 species
CACGUAGGGCGCAAGCGUUGUCCGGAAUUAUUGGGCGUAAAGAGCUCGUAGGCGGUUUGUUGCGUCGGCCGUGAAAACCUGCAGCUUAACUGUGGGCCUGCGGCCGAUACGGGCAGACUUGAGUUCGGUAGGGGAGACUGGAAUUCCUGGUGUAGCGGUGAAAUGCGCAGAUAUCAGGAGGAACACCAGUGGCGAAGGCGCCGCUCUGGGCCGUGACUGACGCUGAGGAGCGAAAGCGUGGGUAGCAAACAGG